rnacentral:rRNA from 1 species
AUUGAACGCUGGCGGCAGGCCUAACACAUGCAAGUCGAACGCGUGGCGGACGGGUGAGUAAUGUCUGGGAAACUGCCCGAUGGAGGGGGAUAACUACUGGAAACGGUAGCUAAUACCGCAUACCAUCGGAUGUGCCCAGAUGGGAUUAGCGAGUAGGUGGGGUAACGGCUCACCUAGGCGACGCGCCCUAGCUGGUCUGAGAGGAGGACCAGCCACACUGUAACUGAGACCCGGUCCAGACUCCUACGGGAGGCAGCAGUGGGGAAUAUUGCACAAUGGGCGCAAGCCUGAUGCAGCCAUACCGAGUGUAUGAAGAAGGCCUUCGGGUUGUAAAGUACUUUCAGCGAGGAGGCGUUACUCGCAGAAGAAGCACCGGCUAACUCCGUGCCAGCAGCCGCGGUAAUUC